UUUAGCCAAUGUCCAUGUGUCGUUAGUUGUGGCAAAUGUUCGGGGUAAAGAUUUAACAAAAGAAGCUGAGCGGAGGGGGUAUAGAAACUCUCACCAAAAUCUUUGCAACCUUCGGCUGCUCAUGGAGCAACUACUUUAAGCACUGAGCCAUUUCACAAGGAGCCCUUCCACGUAUCCCGUGAGUGUUUAAAACAACUGAAGAAGGUUCUUGGAACACCAAACGAGGACACGUGGCCUGGAGUUCAUUCUUUACCACAUUUUAAGCCAGAACGAUUUACCGUGUACAGCUCUAAAAGCCUUAGACAAGCAUGGAAUAAGCUCAGCUAUGUAAAUCACGCCGAGGACCUGGCCUCCAAGCUUCUACAGUGUUCCCCAAAGAACAGGCUGUCAGCACAGGCCGCCUUGAGCCACGAGUAUUUCAGCGAUCUGCCCCCGCGGCUAUGGGAGCUGACCGAUAUGUCUUCUAUUUUUACUGUCCCAAAUGUGAGAUUGCAACCCGAAGCUGGAGAGAGCAUGAGGGCCUUUGGAAAAAACAAUAGUUACGGGAAAAGUCUAUCGAACAGCAAGCACUGACGAGCCCAGCAUCCUCGGGAGAGCACAGGAUUAAGUCGUCAUCAUUCUGGGAAGAAAAAGAGGAAGAAGAAAAAUAAAUAAAUAAAUAAAUACAUAAAUAAAUAAAUAAAUACCACUAAUAAAGUGGUCACCCGUGCAAGGGAUCCCUGGAUCGGUUCUCUUCUGCUCCCUGCAGUGGAUUUCACUGACAGGAAAACUGAAGCUGGAAGACCCCGUUUCCUCUGCAGUUCAUUUAAAACCUUGCACGCAUUUGGAUACCUUGUGAUUUCCAAGAACGUACGUGAAGAUUAAGCUUCGCUUACUGAUACGUGGCAUGUAUCCCUUUCGGUCUUUUGUGUCUGAUUCCGUUU
rnacentral:lncRNA from 1 species